rnacentral:rRNA from 1 species
GACGAACGCUGGCGGCGUGCCUAACACAUGCAAGUUGAGCGACGAACCAGGGCUUGCCCUGGGGCAAAGCAGCGAACGGGUGAGUAACACGUGGGUAACCUGCCCCGAUGAUUGGGACAACCCGAGGAAACUCGGGCUAAUACCGAAUGUGCUCGCCGGACACAAGUCCGGCGCGUAAAGGAAGCUUCGGCCUCCGCUUCGGGAGGGGCCCGCGGCCCAUUAGCUAGUUGGUGAGGUAACGGCNCACCAAGGCAUCGAUGGUAGCUGGUCUGAGAGGACGAUCAGCCACACUGGGACUGAGACACGGCCCAGACUCCUACGGGAGGCAGCAGUGGGGAAUCUUGCGCAAUGCGCGAAAGCGUGACGCAAGCAACGCCG